rnacentral:rRNA from 1 species
AGAGUUUGAUCCUGGCUCAGGAUGAACGCUGGCGGCGUGCCUAAUACAUGCAAGUCGAGCGAACGGACGAGAAGCUUGCUUCUCUGAUGUUAGCGGCGGACGGGUGAGUAACACGUGGAUAACCUACCUAUAAGACUGGGAUAACUUCGGGAAACCGGAGCUAAUACCGGAUAAUAUUUUGAACCGCAUGGUUCAAAAGUGAAAGACGGUCUUGCUGUCACUUAUAGAUGGAUCCGCGCUGCAUUAGCUAGUUGGUAAGGUAACGGCUUACCAAGGCAACGAUGCAUAGCCGACCUGAGAGGGUGAUCGGCCACACUGGAACUGAGACACGGUCCAGACUCCUACGGGAGGCAGCAGUAGGGAAUCUUCCGCAAUGGGCGAAAGCCUGACGGAGCAACGCCGCGUGAGUGAUGAAGGUCUUCGGAUCGUAAAACUCUGUUAUUAGGGAAGAACAUAUGUGUAAGUAACUGUGCACAUCUUGACGGUACCUAAUCAGAAAGCCACGGCUAACUACGUGCCAGCAGCCGCGGUAAUACGUAGGUGGCAAGCGUUAUCCGGAAUUAUUGGGCGUAAAGCGCGCGUAGGCGGUUUUUUAAGUCUGAUGUGAAAGCCCACGGCUCAACCGUGGAGGGUCAUUGGAAACUGGAAAACUUGAGUGCAGAAGAGGAAAGUGGAAUUCCAUGUGUAGCGGUGAAAUGCGCAGAGAUAUGGAGGAACACCAGUGGCGAAGGCGACUUUCUGGUCUGUAACUGACGCUGAUGUGCGAAAGCGUGGGGAUCAAACAGGAUUAGAUACCCUGGUAGUCCACGCCGUAAACGAUGAGUGCUAAGUGUUAGGGGGUUUCCGCCCNUUAGUGCUGCAGCUAACGCAUUAAGCACUCCGCCUGGGGAGUACGACCGCAAGGUUGAAACUCAAAGGAAUUGACGGGGACCCGCACAAGCGGUGGAGCAUGUGGUUUAAUUCGAAGCAACGCGAAGAACCUUACCAAAUCUUGACAUCCUUUGACAACUCUAGAGAUAGAGCCUUCCCCUUCGGGGGACAAAGUGACAGGUGGUGCAUGGUUGUCGUCAGCUCGUGUCGUGAGAUGUUGGGUUAAGUCCCGCAACGAGCGCAACCCUUAAGCUUAGUUGCCAUCAUUAAGUUGGGCACUCUAAGUUGACUGCCGGUGACAAACCGGAGGAAGGUGGGGAUGACGUCAAAUCAUCAUGCCCCUUAUGAUUUGGGCUACACACGUGCUACAAUGGACAAUACAAAGGGCAGCGAAACCGCGAGGUCAAGCAAAUCCCAUAAAGUUGUUCUCAGUUCGGAUUGUAGUCUGCAACUCGACUACAUGAAGCUGGAAUCGCUAGUAAUCGUAGAUCAGCAUGCUACGGUGAAUACGUUCCCGGGUCUUGUACACACCGCCCGUCACACCACGAGAGUUUGUAACACCCGAAGCCGGUGGAGUAACCUUUUAGGAGCUAGCCGUCGAAGGUGGGACAAAUGAUUGGGGUGAAGUCGUAACAAGGUAGCCGUAUCGGAAGGUGCGGCUGGAUCACCU